rnacentral:rRNA from 1 species
UGUGUAGGCGGCCGCGCAAGUCUGGUGUGAAAUCUUCACCGCUUAACGGGAAGAGGUCACUGGAAACUGCGUGGCUCGAGUAUGGUAGAGGCAAGCGGAAUUCCUGGUGUAGCGGUGGAAUGUGUAGAUAUCAGGAAGAACACCGGUGGCGAAGGCGGCUUGCUGGGCCAUCACUGACGCUGAGACACGAAAGCGUGGGGAGCAAACGGGAUUAGAUACCCCCGGUAGUCCACGCUGUAAACGGUGCGCACUAGGUGUGAGGGGUAUCGACCCCCCUUGUGCCGAAGCAAACGCAUUAAGUGCGCCGCCUGGGGAGUACGGCCGCAAGGUUGAA